rnacentral:rRNA from 1 species
GGGAGUAUUGCGCAAUGGGCGGAAGCCUGACGCAGCGCCGCCGCGUGGGGGAUGAAGGCCUUCGGGUUGUAAACCCCUUUCACCAGGAGCGAAUCCAGACGGUACCUGGGGAAGAAGCGCCGGCUAACUACGUGCCAGCAGCCGCGGUAAUACGUAGGGCGCAAGCGUUGUCCGGAAUUAUUGGGCGUAAAGAGCUCGUAGGCGGCCUGUCGCGUCCGCUGUGAAAUCCUGGGGCUUAACCCCGGGCGUGCAGUGGAUACGGGCUGGCUAGAGGCAGGCAGGGGAGAACGGAAUUCCCGGUGUAGCGGUGAAAUGCGCAGAUAUCGGGAGGAACACCGGUGGCGAAGGCGGUUCUCUGGGCCUGUUCUGACGCUGAGGAGCGAAAGCGUGGGGAGCAAAC